GACGAACGCUGGCGGCGUGCUUAACACAUGCAAGUCGAACGAUGAAGCCUAGCUUGCUAGGUGGAUUAGUGGCGAACGGGUGAGUAAUACGUGAGUAACCUACCUUUAACUCUGGGAUAAGCCUGGGAAACUGGGUCUAAUACCGGAUACGACCAAUCUCCGCAUGGGGUGUUGGUGGAAAGCGUUAUGUAGUGGUUAUAGAUGGGCUCACGGCCUAUCAGCUUGUUGGUGAGGUAACGGCUCACCAAGGCGACGACGGGUAGCCGGCCUGGGAGGGUGACCGGCCACACUGGGACUGAGACACGGCCCAGACUCCUACGGGAGGCAGCAGUGGGGAAUAUUGCACAAUGGGCGCAAGCCUGAUGCAGCGACGCCGCGUGAGGGAUGACGGCCUUCGGGUUGUAAACCUCUGUUAGCAGGGAAGAAGAGAAAUUGACGGUACCUGCAGAGAAAGCGCCGGCUAACUACGUGCCAGCAGCCGCGGUAAUACGUAGGGCGCGAGCGUUGUCCGGAAUUAUUGGGCGUAAAGAGCUUGUAGGCGGUUUGUCGCGUCUGCUGUGAAAGGCCGGGGCUUAACCCCGUGUAUUGCAGUGGGUACGGGCAGACUAGAGUGCAGUAGGGGAGACUGGAAUUCCUGGUGUAGCGGUGGAAUGCGCAGAUAUCAGGAGGAACACCGAUGGCGAAGGCAGGUCUCUGGGCUGUAACUGACGCUGAGAAGCGAAAGCAUGGGGAGCGAACAGGAUUAGAUACCCUGGUAGUCCAUGCCGUAAAUGUUGGGCACUAGCCGUUGGGGACAUUCCACGUUUUCCGCGCCGUAGCUAACGCAUUAAGUGCCCCGCCUGGGGAGUACGGCCGCAAGGCUAAAACUCAAAGAAAUUGACGGGGGCCCGCACAAGCGGCGGAGCAUGCGGAUUAAUUCGAUGCAACGCGAAGACACCUUACCAAGGCUUGACAUAGUAAGAACUUUCCAGAGAUGGAUUGGUGCCUUCGGGAACUUACAUACAGGUGGUGCAUGGCUGUCGUCAGCUCGUGUCGUGAGAUGUUGGGUUAAGUCCCGCAACGAGCGCAACCCUCGUUCCUUAUUUGCCAGCGGGUUAAGCCGGGAACUCAUAGGAUACUGCCAGUCACAAAUUGGAGGAAGGCGGGGACGACGUCAAGUCAUCAUGCCCCUUACGUCCAGGGCUACACACGUGCUACAAUGGUCGGUACAAAGGGUUGCCUACCUAGCGAUAGGAUGGUAAUCUCAAAAAGCCGAUCGUAGUCCGGAUUGGAGUCUGCAACUCGCUCCCACGAAGUGGGAGUCGCUAGUAAUCUCGGAUCACAACGCCGCGGCGAAUACGAUAUCGGGCCU
rnacentral:rRNA from 1 species